rnacentral:lncRNA from 10 species
UUACAGUGCAAUAGGCAAUCUAUUUUUCAAUUUGGUAUACUGCCGCUGAUAAAUUAACAGAUGUCGAUUGACUUUUUCCCUCCAGUCCCCUGUGUUACACCUGACAGGCCUACUUUAUAGCUGAGCAGUUAUUUGAAGUUAUAAACAUUAUAAUUAGCAAUUUUUUAAUUAGGCUGACAAUUAACAGGAGAUUUGCAAAGCUGCUAAUUUGACAUGUCAUACUCUCCGUAGUGCUUAUGUUAACCACAACUUGAGUGAAUUCAAUUGAACAGAACCACAGUGUCUGGGAAAAAAUCAAUCUCAGAAGAACCCUUUCUCCCCACUUGGCUGGCUUCAUGGCACUUGGACAGAGAAGUGGAAAUUCAGAGAUUUUGCAGGAUAACAAUACUGACAGCUGAACCCCAAACAAUAGCAGCCUCCGCGAGACUAGCUCAGAGCACACGACACAAAGGCAGGUCCUGCUAAUUGCAUCUGAGGCUCUUGCUUCAAAGUCUUGACGACCUAAGGCAGGUUGGAGGCUCUGUUCUGAUGCCAGUUGCUCCUUAGACCUCAUCGCCAAGGAGACCUCCUGAUGCAGACACCAGCAAGGGCUGUCGUGACAGAGGCUUGUCCUGUAUGGCUGGGAGCUUCCCCUGCACCACUGGGUCCUGUGCUGAUGCCAAUGGAGUGAGAGAGAGAUAGAGAGACAGAGAGAAUCAGAGACAGAGAGAGACGCGAAUCAGGCAGAAUCAGAUAGAGACAGAAAAAGAGACAGACAGAAUCAGACAGAGACAGAGAGAGAAAAGAGAUACACAGAGAGAGAAAAACAGAGAGAAUCAGACAGAGACAGUAUCAGAUAGAGACAGAGAAAGACAAGAGAUACACAGAGAGACAGAGAAAAACAGAGAGAAUCAGAGAAUCAGAUAGAGACAGAGAGAGACAGAAUCAGAUAGAGAGAGACAGAAGAGCUACAUAGAGAGAGAGACAGAGAAAAACAGAGAGAAUCAGACAGAGAGACAUACAGAGAGAGAGAGAAUCAGAUAGAGACAGAGAGAGACAGAAAAAGACAAUCAGAUAGAGAUAGAGAGACACAGAGAGAGACAGGGAGAAUAAGAUACAGAGAGAGAGAGAGACAGCAUCAGACAGAAUCAGAUAGAGACAGAGAGAGAGAAUCAGACAGAGAGACACAGAGACACAGAGAGAGACAGUAGAGACAGAAGAGAUACACAGACACACACAGGAUCAGAUAAGAGACAGAGAGACACAGAAAGAGAGAGAGAGACUGAGAUAGAGAGAGACUGAGGCAGACACAGACAGAGAAUCAGAUAAAGAGAGACAGAGAAUCAGAUAAAGAGAGACAGAGACGGGGAGAAACAGAACCAGAGAGAAACUGAGAGCAGAGAGAAAGAGAGAGAAUCAGAGACAGAGAUAGAGAGGGAGAGACAGGAGAGAAAGACCGGGAGGGAGGCUGCCCUUCCACCUCCAGGGAGUUCAUCCCAUCCAUGCCUCCCAGCAAAGGAAGCUCUCACCAUGGCCCCUGGCUCUCGGAUUCCAGCACCCUGCGCUCGGCUUAGAGGACAUACUGCAUUUACAUCCUUGGACCUUGGAAGGCUUCUGAGGUCUGUUACUUGGUAACCGCCUGCAGCACAGGAGAUGCUGCCUUCUGUUGGAGGCCUCGAGAGACUCCAGAAAUGGGAGACCUUCAGGAAACCGUGGCUUCAGAGGGGAGAGAGAUGGAUGGUGAGCUCCACCAGGCAGGGACAGACAGCACCUCACAGCGCACCUUCCCUGUGCUGGAAUGACUGAUUGAGUUUAUGAAUGAAUAAACCUGAUAAAUGAAGAAGAAUGACGGAUGAAAAAGGGAUGUCUUGAGCAAAAGAAGAGAUCCCAAGCAUUGGAGUAUAGGCGUUAAAGUGAACUCCAGGAGGAGAGGCAGAGGGGGCAGCUCAACAUUGCA